rnacentral:rRNA from 1 species
CCUACGGGAGGCAGCAGUAGGGAAUAUUGCUCAAUGGGCGAAACCCUGAAGCAGCAACGCCGCGUGGAGGAUGAAGGCUUUCGGAUUGUAAACUCCUUUUUGUAGAGAGGAUAAUGUCAAGAUCUAACGAAUAAGCACCUGCCAACUCCGUGCCAGCAGCCGCGGUAAUACGGCGGGUGCAAGCGUUACUCGGAAUAACUGGGCGUAAAGAGCGCGGAGGCGGGAGAGCGAGUCAGAUGUGAAAUCCUAUGGCUUAACCAUAGAACUGCAUUUGAGACUGGUAUGCUAGAGUAUUGGAGAGGGAGGUAGAAUUCUUGGUGUAGGGGUAAAAUGCGUGGAGAUGAAGAGGAAUACUCAUUGCGAAGGCGACCCGCUAGACAAAAACUGACGCUGAUGUGCGAAAGCGUGGGGAGCAAACAGGAUUAGAUACCCUUGUAGUC